rnacentral:rRNA from 1 species
UUUUGAAAGGGUUGUAGCUGGCCUUCGGCAACAAGUCGGAGGCAUGUGCACGCCUGGCUCAUCCACUCUCAAACCCCUGUGCACCUUUUGUAGGCUUCGGCAGAGAGGACUGACUUCGGUCGGUUCAGGAAGCCUUGUGCCUAUGUCACACAUACAAACGCUUCAGUUUAGAAUGUAACGAAUCGUGCGCCUCGGUGCAACGAAAUAAAUACAACUUUCAGCAACGGAUCUCUUGGCUCUCGCAUCGAUGAAGAACGCAGCGAAAUGCGAUAAGUAAUGUGAAUUGCAGAAUUCAGUGAAUCAUCGAAUCUUUGAACGCACCUUGCGCUCCUUGGUAUUCCGAGGAGCAUGCCUGUUUGAGUGUCAUGAAAUUCUCAACCUUUGAAGCUUUUUUUUGAGCUCGCAAAGGCUUGGACUUGGAGGUCGUGUCGGCUCGUAACAAAGUCGACUCCUCUGAAAUGCAUUAGUGUGAAACCUUCGCAGGAUCGCCUUCGGUGUGAUAAUUGUCUACGCCGUCGGUCGUGAAAGUCGAAACAUACGUGUUCACGCUUCUAAUCGUCCGUCGAGGACAAACUUUUUUCUUGACCAUCUGACCUCAAAUCAGGUAGGACUACCCGCUGAACUUAAGCAUAUCAAUAAGCGGAGGAAAAGAAACUAACAAGGAUUCCCCUAGUAACUGCGAGUGAAGCGGGAAAAGCUCAAAUUUAAAAUCUGGUGGCCUUCGGUCGCCCGAGUUGUAGUCUGGAGAAGCGUCUUCCGCGCUGGACCGUGUACAAGUCUCUUGGACAGAGCGUCGUAGAGGGUGAGAAUCCCGUCUUUGACACGACUGCC